rnacentral:lncRNA from 1 species
UUUGGUGUGUAUGUAGAUGUAGAUAAGGAAGUGUUUUGGUGUCUAUGUAGAUGUAGAUAAGGAAGUGCAAAAUAUAUAAUAAUAGUAAUACUAAAUUAUAGAAAAUCUUCAUAUAAAUAAUUUUUUUUUUUUACUUUACCUAAUCGAAUUUUAAAAAUCUAUAUUUUGACUCUUUCAAAUUUCAAAAAAUAAUUCAGAGGGGUACGGACAAAAUGACCAAAUUAACCAUACUUCUUCAAUAAAAAAUAAUUUUAUAAUUUAUUUCUGUCAUUUUGAAGAAUAUUUUCGGUAUAAAUUAUAAGAAAUAAAGGAAAUAGUGAGCGAACAUUGAUGGAGAGGGAUUAAAUGAAACAAUUUGAAAUGUUAAGUAAGUAAAUUAUAGAUUUUUUAAAAUUAGGGAGAGAUUUUGGCCCGCAAAUUUGAUUUACAUACUUUGGAAUAGGCCCAUGGUAUAUUUAUUUAUUUAUUUAUGUAUAUGAUUUGGGAGAUAAG